GGCGGGCUUGGCGCUGGCGAGGUGAGAGCUCCAAACUUGAAGCGGCGCCACGGCCAAGGUGUCCUCUGUCGCCAUUGCAGGAGCUGCGAGGGUGCGCGAAUCCGAAUGGUGGCUGAUUGGUGAACCCAGAGCACCCUUUGCCCCAGGUUCUAGCUCUGGCCCGGUUUUUUCUCUUUACAUUUAAGCUGUAGGCAGAGGAAAUCCUCGUUAGAGGCCUUCUCCCCACCCCGCUUCUCAGCCACAAACUGUUGUUUCAUUAGGAAUCUCACCAGAAACCCGUUUUCAGGUGAAGGCCGAGUACUCAGCCCCUUGUGGUGCCUGGUUUUACUUGAUCACAUUGUAAUUCCAUCCUAGGUACCACCCUAUAAGUUCACUUAACAGAGAGAAGUGGAGUGGUUCUUAGCAGCCUUUUGCGAUGUAACUUAACCACCAAAGAGAUAUCUGGCUAAUAUGGCAGCUCUCGAGGAGUCCGUAUUUACACGUUGCGGGGAUAACGAUAGGCCUUCAUGCUGGUCCUGAGCUUUUACCGUGAUGCUUCCCCCGUUGCCCUCUGUUUGGAUGUCCAUUCCCAACCUUUGGCCUGGGUUCCACUAAGUUAAAGGAGCCGGUACUCUUAUUCCCACGCUGCCUCCGGAAGGUAAAUCUGCUCAAAGGCGAUCUGCGUGCUGUAGCAGCUAAGAUUUGAAUCCAGACGUCAGGACUCAGUACCUUCCCUACAAAAAUCCCUUUGUGGUCCAGCCAAAGAACUAAAUGCAAGCGGGCGACCAUCUCGACCGCAGCCAGAAAGAGGGGGAAAGCGACACCAAGAAUCCAUUCCAAACGAAAAACCAAGAGGAGACGCGGCAGCUCCCAGAUGUUGAUGUUUUGUUUUUUUGACAUAAAUCUUCGCACUCAUAUGGGAGUUUUCAUUGAUUCAUGUUCCCAUCUGCUGAAUUUCCUUUUAUUUAUUUAAUAUUGCUUUUUGGGGAAAUCUUGCUUCGAAGCUCUGGAGAAGCAUAAACCGUGGCAACCACUGCAGCCCUCCUCCCUCUUGCAAGCCUCGGCUGCUGGGGGCAGGGAGAUGCGGUGGCGUCCUGCGGAGUGGGUGCUGGGCAUCCUCCAGGAGGGGCUGGCGCUGCAGGCCUGCGCUAAUGUGGCGAUUCUGUCGUCCGAGCCUUCCAGAGGCAUGGGGAGAGGUAGAGUGAGGAAGGGAGGAAGAGAGGGGCAGACUGGCUGACUGUUCUUCGUGCUUCCUGCUCAUCCCCAACACUUCAUACGUCCCUUUCGCACUAAUGUACACUUUGCUUUUGACACCAUGGAUAGUAGGAAACGUCUAACAGUGGGCAUCUAUAUUAAUAAGAUUGUACAUCUCACCGUCCAAUCAGUACCCUUCCACCUCAAUAGUGAUCCAUCAGUAAUUACAAACUCCAACUCUGGAAUCAGACUGAAUCUUGACGACUUUCCAGAGGGAAUUCUUGAAUAAAUUUACUUUUUAAGAGCUGGGUGGGGGGACUUUUGGGAUAGCAUUGGAAAUGUAAUUGAAGAAAAUACGUAAUAAAAAAAAAGGGUUUCCU
ensembl:lincRNA 1700086O06Rik RIKEN cDNA 1700086O06 gene